GUGAACGUGGGCGGCGUGGAUUAGGCAUGCAAGUCGAGCGAUCGUAGCAAUACGGGAGCGGCAAACGGGGUAGGAAUACAUCGGAACGUACCCUUUGGUUGGGAAUAGCGUUGGGAAACUGACGGUAAUACCCAAUAAAGUCGAGAGACCAAAGGUUUACUGCCGGAGGAGCGGCCGAUGCGAUAUUAGGUAGUUGGUGGGGUAAUGGCCUACCAAGCCUGAGAUGUCUAGGGGGUGUGAGAGCAUGGCCCCCACCACUGGGACUGAGAGACUGCCCAGACACCUACGGGUGGCUGCAGUCGAGGAUCUUCGUCAAUGGGCGAAAGCCUGAACGAGCGACGCCGCGUGCGGGAUGAAGGCCCUUGGGUUGUAAACCGCUGUCAGGGGGGAUGAAACCGUAAGGUUGACAGAGCCCCAGAGGAAGCACGGGCUAAGUUCGUGCCAGCAGCCGCGGUAAUACGAACUGUGCGAACGUUACUCGGAAUCACUGGGCUUACAGGGUGCGUAGGUGGCUUGAUAAGCAGGGUGUGAAAUCCCUCGGCUCAACCGAGGAACUGCGCUCUGAACUGUCGAGCUAGAGUAUGCUAGAGGUGAAUGGAACAUCCAGUGGAGCGGUGAAAUGUGUUGAUAUUGGAUGGAACACCAGAGGCGAAGGCGAUUCACUGGGGCAUAACUGACACUGAGGCACGAAAGCCAAGGGAGCGAACGGGAUUAGAUACCCCGGUAGUCUUGGCCGUAAACGAUGAGUACUGGGCGGGAGGGGGUUU
rnacentral:rRNA from 1 species